rnacentral:rRNA from 1 species
AGCAGCCGCGGUAAUUCCAGCUCCAAUAGCGUAUAUUAAAGUUGUUGCAGUUAAAAAGCUCGUAGUUGAAUUUCGGGGUCAGUAGGUUGGUCGUGCCACUGGUAUGCACUGGCCUCACUGAUUCCUCCUUCUUGUAGAACCGUAAUGCCAUUAGUUUGGUGUUGCGGGGAAACAGGACUGUUACUUUGAAAAAAUUAGAGUGUUUAAAGCAGGCUAACGCUUGAAUACAUUAGCAUGGAAUAAUGAAAUAGGACGCUCGAUCCUAUUUUGUUGGUUUCUAGGAUUGACGUAAUGAUUAAUAGGGAUAGUUGGGGGCAUUAGUAUUCAAUUGUCAGAGGUGAAAUUCUUGGAUUUAUUGAAGACUAACUACUGCGAAAGCAUUUGCCAAGGAUGUUUUCAUUAAUCAAGAACGAAAGUUAGGGGAUCGAAGACGAUCAGAUACCGUCGUAGUCUUAACCAUAAACUAUGCCGACUAGGGAUCGGAUGAUGUUAAUUUUUUAAUGACUCA